GUUGAAGAACGCAGCGAAAUGCGAUAAGUAAUGUGAAUUGCAGAAUUCAGUGAAUCAUCGAAUCUUUGAACGCACAUUGCGCCCCUUGGUAUUCCGAGGGGCAUGCCUGUUCGAGCGUCAUUAUAACCCCUCAAGCUCAGCUUGGUGUUGGGGCCUGCUGCACUGGCAGCCCUUAAAAUCAGUGGCGGCGCCAUCUGGCUCUAAGCGUAGUAAUUCUUCUCGCUAUGGAGUCCUGGUGGAUGCUUGCCAUCAACCCCCAAUUUUUCUAUGGUUGACCUCGGAUCAGGUAGGGAUAACCGCUGAACUUAAGCAUAUCAAUAAGCGGAGGA
rnacentral:misc_RNA from 1 species